AACGAACGCUGGCGGCAGGCCCAACACAUGCAAGUCGAGCGAGACCUUCGGGUCUAGCGGCGGACGGGUGAGUAACGCGUGGGAAUAUGCCCUUUGGUACGGAAUAGCCUCGGGAAACUGAGAGUAAUACCGUAUGUGCCCUUCGGGGGAAAGAUUUAUCGCCAAAGGAUUAGCCCGCGUUGGAUUAGGUAGUUGGUGGGGUAAUGGCCUACCAAGCCUACGAUCCAUAGCUGGUUUGAGAGAAUGAUCAGCCACACUGGGACUGAGACACGGCCCAGACUCCUACGGGAGGCAGCAGUGGGGAAUCUUAGACAAUGGGGGCAACCCUGAUCUAGCCAUGCCGCGUGAGUGAUGAAGGCCUUAGGGUUGUAAAGCUCUUUCAGCUGGGAAGAUAAUGACGGUACCAGCAGAAGAAGCCCCGGCUAACUCCGUGCCAGCAGCCGCCGUAA
rnacentral:rRNA from 1 species